rnacentral:tRNA from 1 species
UGAGCGCCUUCCGGAAUGGCGCCCACUGGCGCCUCAGCUCCCGCUAGGGGCGCCGGCGGGCGCUGCCGGGGCCAGGCGUUCCGCCACGCCGUGCUCGGC